rnacentral:lncRNA from 1 species
CCAGGAUGUCGGUGGACCUCUGACCAGGACAAUGGCUACCAGGGGACAUUCAUAAGGGCAAAUGUGUGUCUUGUUUGAGUGAGAAUCAUCUAAAAUGGUCCUGGAGGAUGCUGCUGGGAAUUUGUGGUGUUUUAGAAACUGGGCCCAUUUCAGCACAAAGUACCCUUGUUCAAGGCAGUGGAGAUAUGACACAUAAUGCAGAUAACUAAAUUAUGAGGUAGAAGGUGAUGAGGACCUUAAAAUAGUUGCCCCCAAAGUGGGCCGAGAGUUCAGAGGAGAGAGGACCUUCUCAUUGUGGUGUUCAGAGAAGGCUUAAUGAAGGAAGUGGCAUUUUUGAUGGAUUGUGAAAAAUGGGGAUGAUUCAACAGGCUGGGACGACAUGGGCAAUGUUGUACCCAUCAAGACAUUAGGGUCACAGGCUGGGAGAGGCUCCUGGAACCUGAAGUGCCUCCCGAGGUGACUGUGUCCUGCCAGAGUGCUCCAGAAGACAGUGUCACCCGUCCUGCUGGCCACUGGCUUUUGCCCUUCCUCUGUCUUGCUUCACUGGAAGAAGGACUAGUUGCUGGCAGGAAUCCGAAACAAGUGAAGGCUCCAAGAGCCAAGAGGAGGUAUCCUGAUGUGGCAGAAAGAUUUGAGCUACCAGCUUGGUGAGAAGUUCGCAGCGACCUUCAGAGAAAUUUCACACCCUGCGGAAUUUCUGCAAGAACCCCUUUCCCACUUCCUGCCCUUAACCUCCACUCUUUGCUAGACCUGCCCUGUGGCGACCACAAAAAUGCAGCUGUCGGAUCUCCAACUCCGGGGGUGUAAUUGACCGAGGUUCUCAGCUGCUGCGCUCUGAAACCCAUCACUUCCUUGGUGCUGAGGCCACGGUUCCCACAGCUGCUCCCAGCCAGAGGCAGAGGGCAGUGGGGACACUAUGGCGGGAUACUAAGGGAAUGCUGGGGAAAUGUGAGAAUCCUUUGACGGGUCACUUUGGCUCCAGGACUUCCCAUUGGCCUUACCAAACACUCCUUAGAUGACCAGCAGCCUGGAACACUUCCACCCAACCUCCUCUCCUCUCUUCUUCCUUGGGGUCAUACUUGCAUUGGUGGUCUGAUGGCUCCCAUCUUCUUCCAGCCCCUUCCAGAUUUCCCCCCACAGGCAUUUCUGCUAAUAAACCUAUUGCAUGUUUCA